CUUAACCACCAGACAAAUCUUAACUACUGAUAUAUUGCACUAAAAAAAUAACUUACAGAAAUCUAUUCUUAACCCUAUCCUACCUUCUGAACUCAUUACCUUAAUUACACUGAGAAGUCUUCAUUGGGACAUCCCAUUCAACAGGAACCCUGUUAUGCUCCUUGUAUCUUCAUUGUCUAGCACAGUGUCCUACAUAAGAGUGGUGUGACUUGGUGGUAUAUUACUGAUUAUGGUGGUUUCUGGCUGCUGAUACUGCUUCUUCUGUUAAUGAUGAUAACAGUGGAAGAAUCCAUAUGUUAACUCAGCAUUCUCCUUUUCUCUCCUGUAGAUUAAAUAGUGGUGCCAUAAACACAGAGAGAAAGAUUAUGAAGAAAUGUUCUAUGAAUGUAAUGGUGAUCAGGAUGAACAAACAAAAGACGAUGAACAUCUUCCUGAAUGGUUCCCCUUUUUGGUCACCAGGAGAACAUGAGAGAAGCACAAGAUGAAAUCCAAGCCAUCUGACUCCAUCCUCUUGAUGUGAAGGAAAUUUCAACAGAGCCUGUUUUCUGAAUUUUCAGUCUAUCUCAUUCUGAGAAUUACACUCCAUAAAAGCAAUGGAUAGAAUGCUGAGCCUGGAGUCAGGAAGAACUAAAUUUAAAUCUUCCCUCACACACUUACUAGCUGUAUGACUUUGAGGAAGUCACUUCAACUCUGUUUGUUUGUUUCCUCAUCUGUAAAAUGGGGAUAAUAAUAGCAGCUACUUCCCAGGGUUGUUGUGAGAAUCAAAUGAGAUAAUAUUUGUAAAGCACUUAUAAUAGUGCCUGGCACAGAGUAAAUGCUAUUCAAAUGUUAGCUGUUACUGGAUUACUAUUAUUUCCAUUUUAUUGUAUCCUUUUAUGGUGUUUAAAUAAAUCACAUGGCUAUAAGUGAAAUUGGCCA
rnacentral:lncRNA from 1 species